ACCUGGAACUCACUGAUUCAGCUACAAUGGC
rnacentral:piRNA from 1 species